rnacentral:rRNA from 1 species
GGGUCUGAGAGGAUGAUCCGCCACACUGGGACUGAGACACGGCCCAGACUCCUACGGGAGGCAGCAGUGGGGAAUAUUGGACAAUGGGGGGAACCCUGAUCCAGCCAUGCCGCGUGUGUGAAGAAGGCCUUAUGGUUGUAAAGCACUUUAAGCGAGGAGGAGGCUACUGAGAUUAAUACUCUUGGAUAGUGGACGUUACUCGCAGAAUAAGCACCGGCUAACUCUGUGCCAGCAGCCGCGGUAAUACAGAGGGUGCGAGCGUUAAUCGGAUUUACUGGGCGUAAAGCGUGCGUAGGCGGCUUUUUAAGUCGGAUGUGAAAUCCCCGAGCUUAACUUGGGAAUUGCAUUCGAUACUGGGAAGCUAGAGUAUGGGAGAGGAUGGUAGAAUUCCAGGUGUAGCGGUGAAA